rnacentral:rRNA from 1 species
CCCGCAAGGGGAGUGGCAGACGGGUGAGUAACGCGUGGGAAUCUACCCAUCUCUGCGGAAUAGCUCUGGGAAACUGGAAUUAAUACCGCAUACGCCCUACGGGGGAAAGAUUUAUCGGGGAUGGAUGAGCCCGCGUUGGAUUAGCUAGUUGGUGGGGUAAAGGCCUACCAAGGCGACGAUCCAUAGCUGGUCUGAGAGGAUGAUCAGCCACAUUGGGACUGAGACACGGCCCAAACUCCUACGGGAGGCAGCAGUGGGGAAUAUUGGACAAUGGGCGCAAGCCUGAUCCAGCCAUGCCGCGUGAGUGAUGAAGGCCUUAGGGUUGUAAAGCUCUUUCACCGGUGAAGAUAAUGACGGUAACCGGAGAAGAAGCCCCGGCUAACUUCGUGCCAGCAGCCGCGGUAAUACGAAGGGGGCUAGCGUUGUUCGGAAUUACUGGGCGUAAAGCGCACGUAGGCGGAUAUUUAAGUCAGGGGUGAAAUCCCAGAGCUCAACUCUGGAACUGCCUUUG